UGGGGAAUAUUGGACAAUGGGCGCAAGCCUGAUCCAGCCAUGCCGCGUGAGUGAUGAAGGCCCUAGGGUUGUAAAGCUCUUUCACCGGUGAAGAUAAUGACGGUAACCGGAGAAGAAGCCCCGGCUAACUUCGUGCCAGCAGCCGCGGUAAUACGAAGGGGGCUAGCGUUGUUCGGAUUUACUGGGCGUAAAGCGCACGUAGGCGGACUAUUAAGUCAGGGGUGAAAUCCCGGGGCUCAACCCCGGAACUGCCUUUGAUACUGGUAGUCUUUAGUUCGAGAGAGGUGAGUGGAAUUCCGAGUGUAGAGGUGAAAUUCGUAGAUAUUCGGAGGAACACCAGUGGCGAAGGCGGCUCACUGGCUCGAUACUGACGCUGAGGUGCGAAAGCGUGGGGAGCAAACAGG
rnacentral:rRNA from 2 species